CCUACGGGAGGCAGCAGUGGGGAAUAUUGGUCAAUGGGCGUAAGCCUGAACCAGCCAAGUCGCGUGAGGGAUGAAGGUUCUAUGGAUCGUCAACCUCUUUUAUAGGGGAAUAAAGUGCGGGACGUGUCCCGUUUUGUAUGUACCUUAUGAAUAAGGAUCGGCUAACUCCGUGCCAGCAGCCGCGGUAAUACGGAGGGUCCGAGCGUUAUCCGGAUUUAUUGUGUUUAAAGGGUGCGUAGGCGGCCGUUUAAGUCAGCGGUGAAAGUCUGUGGCUAAACCAGGGAAUUGCCGUUGAACCUGGGAGGCUUGAGUAUGUUUGAGGCGGGCGGAAUUCGUGGUGUAGUGGUGAAAUGCUUAGAUAUCACGCAGAACACCGAUUGCGAAGGCAGCUUGCCAAGCCAUGACUGACGCUGAUGCACGAAAGCGUGGGGAUCAAACAGGAUUAGAUACCCGUGUAGUC
rnacentral:rRNA from 1 species